rnacentral:tRNA from 1 species
GCACCCGUAGCCUAGUCUGGAUAAGGCGACAGCCUCCUAACCCUUUUGGAGCGAGCUGUAGACCCCGAGUUCGAAUCUGCUUGCGGCCACGGUCCUGAAACCUCAGGUCUGCACACGGCCGGAUGCUGUGAAAGUCUCGGCGGGUGCG